GUAGCAUUCUCGGCCUUUUGGCUAAGAUCAAGUGUAGUAUCUGUUCUUAUCAGUUUAAUAUCUGAUACGUCCUCGAUGUAGUAUCUGUUCUUAUCAGUUUAAUAUCGCAACCGCAACGGUGGUUCAAGGGUUGGACUCGAUGAUCUCUGAGGUCCCUUCCAACCCAGCCAAU